UUGACGGGACCGCACAAGCGUGGAUGAUGUGGAUUAUUCGAUGCAACGCGAAAACCUUACCUACCCUUGACAUUGUCCGGAAUCCCGAAGAGAUUUGGGAGUGCUCGCAAGAGAACCGGAACACAGGUGCUGCAUGGCUGUCGUCAGCUCGUGUCGUGAGAUGUUGGGUUAAGUCCCGCAACGAGCGCAACCCUUUGUCACUAGUUGCCAUCAUUUAGUUGGGCACUCUAGUGAGACUGCCGGUGACAAACCGGAGGAAGUGGGGAUGACGUCAAGUCCUCAUGGCCCUUAUGGGUAGGGCUUCACACGUCAUACAAUGGUCGGUACAGAGGGUUGCCAAGCCGCGAGGUGGAGCCAAUCCCUUAAAGCCGAUCGUAGUCCGGAUCGUAGUCUGCAACUCGACUACGUGAAGUCGGAAUCGCUAGUAAUCGUGAAUCAGAAUGUCACGGUGAAUACGUUCCCGGGCCUU
rnacentral:rRNA from 1 species